GUAUAAAUAGUGCUUCCAUUGUGAUAAACACUCAUAUUUUUUCUGGCGACAUCGGGACAUGAGCCCUUGUCGGUUAUAUGGUUAUUGCGGUGUUAAUAAAUUUUCUAAGACGUGGUCUUAGUUGCAAGGUUUGUAAAGCCUUUGAAAACGAAUUAAAUCUACCAAUGACGAAGUCUUGGUUUGAAAGGAUUGAUAAUCCGUGCAUUUCGUUUUACACAUGGUUCAUGUGGUUUUACAACUCAAGUUGUACAAUACACGUUGUGUAUUUGUUGAAUGCACGAUAAGAACACGCUGUGUUCAGAAUUUUGUCGUGAAUAUAUUUUACCGCAAGUUUUACAGUACACGUUGUGUAUUGGUUGAUAGUAAGUUUAUAAAACACGUUGUGUUCAGAACUUGGACUAUAUAAAAGAUUUUACACCGCAAGUUGAAUAAUAUACACGCUGUGUAUAUAUUAAAUAGUACAGUACAAUUAGAACACGCUGUGUUCAGAUUUUUCUUAUGGUUUUAUUGAUCUCAAUAUCAGGGAUAUAAAUGAGACAAGAGAUGGAAUUUCUCUUAACUGCUGACUGAUACUGGAGAUAAUUGGUUUACGACCCACAAUUUACAAAAUGUAAUGCUCAUAGUAAAAUGACCAAAGGUCUGAAGUUUGAACAAAAUAACAGUCAGGUUAAUAAUACAACUGUACUAAAUCAUGUAGGUGAAAGAAGAUGUCAAUUUAGAACAUCGGAACAGGCUGAUGCAAUACAUUACAUGAAAUUAAUGUUGGUUUAUUGAUCAUGAUAAAAAA
rnacentral:sRNA from 1 species